CGCGCUUUAGCGCCGCCAUGCCGCCCAGCCAGCCGCCGCCUGUCUCCCUUCUUCUCCCCUCCUCCUUCGUGCCCCCUCCCCUGCUGCUCGUGUUCUACAAUUUCAGAAACAAAGUUUCUGAAAUUGAAACUUUGUUUUAUUCCUCCUUAUUCAAGUUGGGCCAAAUCAAUUGGGCUUUGGAAUCGGACUUGAAGCUCAGGACGAACGAUCCAUCGAAUAGGAAGUAUAAACUACGGUUGAGGUACGAAGAAGAUCGUGGGAUGCCUUAGAGUGAGGAUGCAACCAUCAAAUUCACGAUCGAUGUUUAAUAAAGAUAACUAUGUCUCACUAGUAAUAAUGGAUGUAUUAUUUAAACUCUAAGUAUUAAGUUAGAUUUUAAUAUUUAUCUUUAAUCAAUGUUAGGAAUAUUUAUUAAAGUUCGUUUAGAUUUCGGUGUAAAUAUUAAAGAAUUAAUCGAAGUGAAGUAUAAUUACAGUUACUCAACAGUAGUCAGUAAAUUUAAAAAGGGUAUGUCGCCUUGUAUUUCCCACGAGGGAGAUACGGCAGUGACGCUCCGACUAAAUUAGGGUUUCCGCUGCUAAUU